rnacentral:rRNA from 1 species
CCCUUAGAUGUCCUGGGCUGCACGCGCGCUACACUGAUGUGUCCAGUAAGCACCUAACCUCUUCCGAAAGGAACGGGUAACCUUUGCAAAGCACAUCGUGAUGGGGAUAGAUUAUUGCAAUUAUUAGUCUUGAACGAGGAAUUCCUAGUAAGCACAAGUCAUCAGCUUGUGUUGAUUACGUCCCUGCCCUUUGUACACACCGCCCGUCGCUACUACCGAUUGAACGGUUUAGUGAGGGCCUCGGAUUGGUCUCGGCCCGCUCUUUACCGGGCGGCGCCGUUGGUCGAGAAGACGCUCGAACUUGAUCGUUUAGAGGAAGUAAAAGUCGUAACA